rnacentral:rRNA from 1 species
AGUUUGAUCAUGCUCAGAUUGAACGCUGGCGGCAGGCCUAACACAUGCAAGUCGAGCGGUAACAUUUCCAAAAGCUUGCUUUUGGAGAUGACGAGCGGCGGACGGGUGAGUAAUGCCUGGGAACAUGCCUUGGUGUGGGGGAUAACCAUUGGAAACGAUGGCUAAUACCGCAUAACGUCUACGGACCAAAGAGGGGGACCUUCGGGCCUCUCGCGCCAAGAUUGGCCCAGGUGGGAUUAGCUAGUAGGUGGGGUAACGGCUCACCUAGGCGACGAUCCCUAGCUGGUCUGAGAGGAUGAUCAGCCACACUGGAACUGAGACACGGUCCAGACUCCUACGGGAGGCAGCAGUGGGGAAUAUUGCACAAUGGGGGAAACCCUGAUGCAGCCAUGCCGCGUGUGUGAAGAAGGCCUUCGGGUUGUAAAGCACUUUCAGUAGGGAGGAAGGCAGUGUCGUUAAUAGCGGCAUUGUUUGACGUUACCUACAGAAGAAGCACCGGCUAACUCCGUGCCAGCAGCCGCGGUAAUACGGAGGGU